AAGAAGGACUGGCCGAGCCUACCCCGCUCCAGCUACCCAGAGGAGGAGCCGAGCCUGCCUCUUGCCAGCUACCCCGAGGAGCAACUGAGCCUACCGUCUGCUACUUACCCGGAGGAACCGAUGGUGUUCGAAACCGCCGGCGACGCUACCAUGACUCAGAGCCAGCGGCCAGCGAACUCGAGCGAGGCGGUUGGAUACCCCACACCCUCGCUGAGGGAUGAACCGCGGUAAAGCCGCACCACAAACAAAAGAUCCAGCAGCAAGCCCACAAUUUUAAAUCGGGUUCUGUGACUCCCAUCAACUAAAACUUCAAUCACUAUACCAUUACUUUUACUGUUGUAAAAAGCAUGACUGUAGUAUUGUUUCCACCCCACCCUACUCAUGGGAUCUGUCUGCACAUUCCUGCCAAAAUACCUUGUACCCUACCUUUCUUAUUCAGCAUAGUAAUAACAUUUUAAAUUGCCUAAAUUUACAAUAUGCUCUAUUUGCAUGAUAUAAUGUAAUGCUUCUGAUUCUCCUCUCUGUCUGCUUGUGUUAACUGGGACUGUCUUCACUGAUAGGCUGGGAAAUAGACCCCACCACCACUGGGCCUGCUCUAUAAGGUCUAUGUGGCUAAAUCCCUGAAUAUGUGGAAAAACACAUAGAUAUGUAUUUAUACAAUAGUCUGUCUAUGUUUUCAAUUUUCAGAAAUUGCUAAAGGGAUUUGUUAAAAACCCAGCAAAUUAUCCCUACAAAACUAGUACUGUAAUAACCAAUAAUAAAAAGAUUAAGGAAAUUCAGUCUGAUACUCCAUCCUUGUCCUAUCCCUUUCAUUCCUGUGUUAUGCUGACAUAUUGCUAUACUGAAUGAUCUAAUUUAUAAUGUA